AUUGAUUAUCGUCAUUUCGUUUAAGGAUCUCUGUGGGGAUAAGUCGAUUUGAUAGCGAACUAGAAAGCGAGAGAUCGAAGCAAGUGAUGCCAGGAGGUGUGCCCAAGCUCCCAAAGAUCCAACCGGCGGACAUCCAAGCCGCCGUGGGAUGGGGUGUCGCCGCCGCAGCCGGCGCCAUCUGGGUCGUCCAACCAUUUGAUUGGAUCAAGAAGACGUUCAUUGACAAACCAGCAACUGAAGAGAACUGAUGGGUCGUCACCAAGAUGUAGACUUUUCUUUGCCAUGGGACUGAAUAAAGUUUUGGUUCUUUUUCUGGGGAUUUUUGUUGUUUCAUGACUUCAGUGUAAACUUUUUUGCCUUCUCAAAUGUUAUAACACAUGAAUAAGCAUACACACUGUAACCAGAAAAGAGCAUGCAUUUUGCUUUUUA